rnacentral:rRNA from 1 species
AGGCUGCAACUCGCCUGCAUGAAGUCGGAAUUGCUAGUAAUCGUAGGUCAGCAUACUACGGUGAAUACGUUCCCGGGCCUUGUACACACCGCCCGUCACACCAUGAGAGUCGGGAACACCCGAAGUCCGUAGUCUAACCGCAAGGAGGGCGCGGCCGAAGGUGGGUUCGAUAAUUGGGGUGAAGUCGUAACAAGGUAAC